GACCAAGGAGUUUAUCGUGUACGCAAGUCAUUGGGUGAAUAAAACCCAAAGGCGAAAUAAAAGUAAAGAGUUGAGUAUAUAAAAAGAAGUUUUACUUAUUUUUAUUUCUCUCUUUAGGGAAGAUAAAAAAUUAAUUAAUAAUUUAUUAUUAAUAUAAAUUUUUUCGCACUCCCGGGGCGCUUGUUUUAUGCUUUGCAUAUCAAUGCGCACCUAGAGCGUACACGCUGAUACCCGAAAGAUGGUGAACUAUGCCUGGCCAGGACGAAGCCAGGGGAAACCCUGGUGGAGGUCCGCAGCGAUUCUGACGUGCAAAUCGAUCGUCGGAGCUGGGUAUAGGGGCGAAAGACCAAUCGAACCAUCUAGUAGCUGGUUCCCUCUGAAGUUUCCCUCAGGAUAGCUUGCGCUCAGUUGAGACGAGUCUCAUCCGGUAGAGCGAAUGAUUAGAGGCAUUGGGGUCGAAACGACCUCAACCUAUUCUCAAACUCCAAAUAGAUGAGACCCCCGGCUUUCUUAAAAUUGAAGCCGUGGGAAUAGGAUCAGAGUGCCAAGUGGGCCAAUUUUGGUAAGCAGA
rnacentral:rRNA from 1 species